rnacentral:rRNA from 1 species
GCUGUUAGUUUAACGUCCUUGUCAAAGAUUGAUCUUGUCUGAUUUCAGAAGCUAUGCAGGGACAUGGUUAGCACUUUGAUGGGAGACCGCUGGGAAUAUAAUAUUAAAAACU